AAGCAGCUUGAAUUUUCACAAAUUGGAUUAAGAGUAGUGUGCAGACAAAUAAUGGUCCAAAACAUUGCUUCCUACAGGUUUAAAGUAUGCAUUUGACAUCACGUGCUAUUUUAACUGACUGCUCCAGCAUAGUGCAGUAAGCCCAGGGUCAAGUUAUAUCUACAAAAUCUACUGGCUCAAGUCUCAUCAAUUAGGCAACAAAUUUCAGACAACGAGUAUCAUCAUGUAUGGUCUGGCAACGGAUUGAACAGAAGCGCAUCCCACAUCUAACACAAGUAUAGUUGGAAAGAAAUCCACAAACAGUGCAGAAAUGCCGGCGGCAGGUAGAGCUUGGAGGUCCUACAGCUGCCUUCAAAUAGGAUGGAACAUGUGGAGGCAAAGAUUCCAAAUUUGCCUCAUGUAAGAGCUCAAGAAAAUUUCUUGGGGCUUUCCUAGCAUUCUCAAGCGCUUUUGCUUGCCGGGUUUUACGUUUUGUACUCUUGGACUGCUUCUUUUGUAAAUAUCCUUCAUCGUCAUCAUCAAGGGAAGCCUCAUCAUCAUCAUUAGUUUCCACCAUUUCCAUCCCAGCAUAAUCAUUUUCCAAGGCUUCAAGUCGAGCGAUGGCUGCCUGAGUUCGAUUAUCGCUGCUUGCGAGAGCAGCAGCCAUUCUAGGAGCAACCUUACGAGUUCGGCUUGACGUUCGCCGAAAAGAGUUUGAAACAUCGUCGUCCAUGGUUGUAAACUCAAACUAAUUUCCAGUGGUUGAAUCAAGAGAUAUUUGGUGUAUUAUGGAUGGUUGGUGGCGGCAGUGGGGCNNNNNNNNNNUGGGCCCUGCCGCUGCCGAGAAACUGGACCGUCUGAGGAUGUGUUGGCUGUAGGUGGAAUGGAGGAAGUUGCAGGUCUGGCGUCUGAGAGCCUGUAUGACGUCGUUUAUGCCGCUAGGGUAU
rnacentral:misc_RNA from 1 species